rnacentral:lncRNA from 1 species
AUGAAGGGAAUAUCUCAUCGAGGUCGUUAACUGUGGAGCGUGGACUUGCUAUCUGGGAGUGCUGGAGUUGUCAUGGAUCGAAGCUAUGAGAUUGCUAGUAUUGACACUUUGGUUUUGAGUUAUUAUGAAACGAUUACAAAACAAUUUAUUAUAGGCUUCCGCUACUCGACAUUAUUGAAUUGAUAACAUGUUUUAUUAAGUAUUUUCUAUUG